UGCCAACUGUGUCUUGCCACCU
rnacentral:piRNA from 1 species